rnacentral:rRNA from 1 species
ACAAGCGGUGGAGCAUGUGGUUAAUUCGAUGCAACGCGAAAACUUACCUGCCCUUGACAUGUCAGGAAUCUUCCAGAGAUGGGGAGUGCCUUCGGGAGCCUGAACACAGGUGCUGCAUGGCUGUCGUCAGCUCGUGUCGUGAGAUGUUGGGUUAAGUCCCGUAACGAGCGCAACCCUUGUCCUUAGUUGCCAGCGGUUUGGCCGGGAACUCUAAGGAGACUGCCGGUGAUAAACCGGAGGAAGUGGGGACGACGUCAAGUCAUCAUGGCCCUUAUGGGCAGGGCUACACACGUGCUACAAUGGCCAGUACAGAAGGUCGCCAACCCGCGAGGGGGAGCUAAUCCUACAAAGCUGGUCGUAGUCCGGAUCGCAGUCUGCAACUCGACUGCGUGAAGUCGGAAUCGCUAGUAAUCGCGAAUCAGCAUGUCGCGGUGAAUACGUUCCCGGGCCUU